rnacentral:rRNA from 1 species
AUGUACGUGUACGGACGUAGUGCAGUCAACGCAGGCGUCGAGACUAUCUUCCUCCUCUCGACAAAGGCCGCACGGGACUUGGGGACGAGCACUCUUGCUCGAAGAAGAGGAAGCAGAGGUCAGCGUCAGGUUCGAGAGAUUAGGGAGGGAAGAAGAAGGGAUGGAAAAGGAGAAGGGCGACGAGGGCUGGCCUUGCCACGGUGGUCUCCAUGGCGAGUCGAGGCGGGGCGCACUGCUGCUGGCCAGCGCGUGCACGAGCUCCUACUCCUGGUUCGAGAGGGGGCGUGGGAAAUCGGGGCGCCGUGGUGCUCUGUGGCUGGACGUGGGAGGAGGCCAGAGGUCCUACAGGAGAUCCUCUCCGGCGAUGAGGUGGGGCUCGGUGAGGAGCACGGCAUGGAGGAGUCCCUCUCCUGUUGGGCUCGGAGAGCAGGAUGA